GUACACUACCGGCCUAACCCGCCGGCUAUGUAUAACCCUUUGUUGUCCGACUCUGUUGCCUCCGGGGCGACCCUGCCUUCGGGCGGGGGCCCCGGGUGGACACUUCAAACUCUUGCGUAACUUUGCAGUCUGAGUAAAUUUAAUUAAUAAAUUAAAACUUUCAACAACGGAUCUCUUGGUUCUGGCAUCGAUGAAGAACGCAGCGAAAUGCGAUAAGUAAUGUGAAUUGCAGAAUUCAGUGAAUCAUCGAAUCUUUGAACGCACAUUGCGCCCCCUGGUAUUCCGGGGGGCAUGCCUGUUCGAGCGUCAUUUCACCACUCAAGCCUCGCUUGGUAUUGGGCGACGCGGUCCGCCGCGCGCCUCAAAUCGACCGGCUGGGUCUUCUGUCCCCUCAGCGUUGUGGAAACUAUUCGCUAAAGGGUGCCCGGGAGGCUACGCCGUAAAACAACCCCAUUUCUAAGGUUGACCUCGGAUCAGGUAGGGAUACCCGCUGAACUUAAGCAUAUC
rnacentral:rRNA from 1 species